ensembl:lncRNA
CCCAGGUUCGAGCCCCACUUACCAUUGUGUCCCUGAGCAGGACACUUCACUUAAAAAUAAAAAGAUAUCUUUCUCCAGCAAUUACAGUAAAGUACACUGAGGCUUAUUUUAUAAUGCUCAUGAACAAUUAAAAACAAAGACUACUUAUUUAAUGCAUGAAUGUGACAAACUGCUUGAAUACACAGUAUACUGCACAGUACAACAUUGUUAUGAUAUCACAUAGUAGAGACCUGUUCCAUUAUAUUUGCUGACCAAGCUUGAUCCAACUCCUUAGGAUUCUGUAGACAGCUGUCAUUCUGAGACUUUGGAGAGGAGUUCCAAGCAACAGCUCAUGAGUUUGUAAGCAUCCAUUUCAAAUUUGUCACUGUGAACAACAGCUGAUAUGUUCACUAGAUGUGAGAAUGUCAAAACAUGUGUGUGUGUGUGUGUGUGUGUGUGUGUGUGUCCAUGGGUCUGUAAUUCAACUUCAGGCUGUGCUGUUCCAGGCUCAGAGAAUUGGAUGCUCAUGCUCAGUUGGAUGAGCAGGGGUGCCGUUCUUCUGUUGUCAGCAGAUGGUGCUGCCAGGCUGGCAAGGGACAUAGAGCCACCUUCAGGUGGGAGGAUCCUCAGCGAGGCCAGGCUGAGGCCAACGCAGGGCCCAGAAUUUGGCAGUUUCAGGGACCUGUCGGAGUGGUCCCUCAGCUGAACUCUGACCCGGACAAAAAGGCUGAUUAUGCUGAAAAAAAAACACAAACCUGGGAGGAGGAAGUGCUGAGGAGCAGAGAAGUGUGUAAUGUGGCAGUAACUGCAGAUGUGCAAGUGCCCGUGCAGGACACAGAAGCCCAAACGGAGCCUGACGGCAGGGAUGCAGCCGACCUGACACAGCCCUUCAGGAGAGUGGAGGCCAUGGUGGCUCAGGCCCUGCAGGCGGCCCAACUCAUCCGAGAGGGAGAAAGGAGAGUAAUGGAGGUACGGGAGAAGAUGGAGGCCAUCGGCCAACGAGUGGAGAGUGCACUAAGCCGCGUGGUCCACUCAGACAGCCAGCUGGGCAUGUUGAAGGCCAAGAUGCAUGUCAGCACUGAGGCUAAAGGUACCUGCACACAGUCAGACAUGUUCGAUCACCAGCACUCUGGAGGCAGCUACAGAAAGACCAGUCCACCUGUACAGGAGCCGGUGGUUGAAAGCUGGACGUCCUCUCGAAGCCUCAGAGUAAAUGGUACAGUAUUCUUAAAUGUAAACUGGUUUAUUAAAUGUUCUGUCACUUACACAUACACGUGGCCUAAUAUUCCUUUGUGCCACGAUUCUUCUAAAUCUUAGAAGAUUCUUCUUGAUGCCUUAAAACUUGAGUAAACCAGGAUUCUUCUUGAUGCCUUAAAAUUGCCAUUGCCAACAAAAUGUCCGGCCACACCACAAUGUAAUUAUUAUUAUCAACGCUUAUUAUCAUUUAAUUGAGUCAUUAUUUGGAAGGUCAUAGGUCUGAAACAGGACAUCUGGGUAAAAAGAGACCAUGGCUCUGUUCAAACGUACACCUUUCAUGUAUAGAUUAAUUCACUUUCUCCAGGAGAGAGAUCUCUCUGGUCCAUCCCAUUGUUUAAACACGAAAAUCUCUGAAGAGCUUACCUCCACAAAGGUGACAGUGAUGUCCAUAGAUGUUCCCCAGGUUCAGGAUUUUCUUAAAGUCCUGCUUCCAUUGCUGAACAUCAAGGUAGGAUCUUGCUUAAUGCAGACUGAGGUGGGUAAAUACCUCUCCAGAAAACCUUGAAGACCUCCUUUUGCCAUUGCUUCUACAAAAGCCAACAGCCAAUAACCAAUGGACUAAAUCUUGGCACCGCCCUGGUUGGCUGCCUACUGCACCCGC